rnacentral:rRNA from 1 species
GUCUUUGGGGGCAGCAGUGGGGAAUAUUGGGCAAUGGCCGAAAGGCUGACCCAGCAACGCCGCGUGGUGGAUGAAGCCCUUCGGGGUGUAAACACCUUUUCUGAGGGAAGAUAAUGACGUA